rnacentral:rRNA from 1 species
GAUGAACGCUAGCUACAGGCUUAACACAUGCAAGUCGAGGGGUAGCAGGGUAGCAAUACCGCUGACGACCGGCGCACGGGUGAGUAACACGUAUCCAACCUUCCCAUAACUCAGGGAUAGCCUUUCGAAAGAAAGAUUAAUACCUGAUAGUACUUAUAUAAGGCAUCUUAUUUAAGUUAAAGAUUUAUUGGUUAUGGAUGGGGAUGCGUUCCAUUAGAUAGUUGGUGAGGUAACAGCUCACCAAGUCUUCGAUGGAUAGGGGUUCUGAGAGGAAGGUCCCCCACAUUGGUACUGAGACACGGACCAAACUCCUACGGGAGGCAGCAGUGAGGAAUAUUGGUCAAUGGGCGAGAGCCUGAACCAGCCAAGUAGCGUGAAGGAUGAAGGUCCUAUGGAUUGUAAACUUCUUUUAUAGUAGAAUAAAGUUAGCCACGUGUGGUUAUUUGUAUGUAUACUAUGAAUAAGGAUCGGCUAACUCCGUGCCAGCAGCCGCCGUAAGAC